rnacentral:rRNA from 1 species
GGACGAACGCUGGCGGCGUGCUUAACACAUGCAAGUCGAGCGGUAAGGCCCUUUCGGGGGGUACACGAGCGGCGAACGGGUGAGUAACACGUGGGUGACCUGCCCUUAGCUCUGGGAUAAGCCUGGGAAACUGGGUCUAAUACCGGAUAUGACUCCAUAACGCAUGUUGUGGGGUGGAAAGCCUUGUGCGGCUAGGGAUGGGCCCGCGGCCUAUCAGCUUGUUGGUGGGGUGAUGCCACCAAGGCGACGACGGGUAGCCGGCCUGAGAGGGCGACCGGCCACACUGGGACU